AGGAUUGUAUUAAGUCAUGUUGAAUACUUAAAUUUUCCGACUAGUGUGCCAAAUUUAUAACACCGUUCCAAUUCGAACAGUCCCAUAGACCCCCCGUGGCCGAGCUCGCCAAUUCUCACGCCAGUCGCUCAUGCAUAUUGUCGACGAGGUUUCAAAACAGUGGAGGAUUGUUCAAGUCCAAUGUGGCGCCGGUGCAACCCAGCAUAGCAGCAUCUGUACAAAAAAUAUCAUUUCAUAUGCGGGCACUCUUGACCCCAAUCAAUACUACGAUGCCGUCUCAGAGUAGUUGUCCCUAAUCCAACAACCCUCCUAUCUACGAUACCUAUCGACUACAAUGUCCACAAUGUGUCGCUCCUCAUCUCGCCAACGACCCGGUUGGCAAUCCGGAUGGACUAGCUUACGCGGCGGGCUUGAACUUGGUCUGCAAGUCCAUCACAUCCAUGUCCUUGAGCUGGAACGCCCUGGCCAGUACCGAGGUGUCGAUUGACGGCUGUGCUGCGAACACGGCGGUGGAGAACUGUACGCCGGGGUUCUGCCCGUUCAACACCGAGAUCGUCACGGCGUGACCGCUGCCCACAUUCAGCUGGAAGUGCACCAAUCCCUUGGGGAACACGAAGAAGUCGCCCCUCUUCAGGCUCGUUGCGAAGAGCUUCCCGGCGGUGUCGACGAAUCCGACGUGCACCUCUCCCUUCACCACGUAGAUCACCUCCGCGGCCCUGGGGUGGGUGUGAGGGGGCACGAGCCCACCCUUGGCGUAGUUGAACUUGGCCAACGCGAAUCCAAGGGUGUUCAACCCGGGGUAGUUGAUGCCCGCGAACCCUGGUGCAAGCGCGAUGCCGAGGGGGUUGUUGGUGUCUCCGUCCUUGCGGAAGCCCCUGAACGCGAAGUCCUCCGACAUGGCAGACGAGGCAGCCUUGCAGGCCAGGCCGUUGAUGGUGACCUUGCUAGCCAAAUCGGCCACACAAUAGUCGUUGAUGGGGUCGGCAUCACUAGCAGAUGCCAAAGCAACCAGAGAUGCGACGACGACGAGGAUAGCGAAGAGCUUGGCCAUUUUGAGUGAUAAUCCCAAACUACUAAAUGGUUGGGUGAGAGAAAACCACUGCAGAUGUCUGGUCCCCUACACUCUUACUGUCGUGAAGUUCCUAUAUACUCCGUCGGAAUGCUUGCCACAUCAUACAUUUGUUGAGAAGCGGUCACAGAAGCCGCUGGGUGUUGCCUUUCCAGUCUGACGGUGGACCCACACCGAGACGUGGAACUCGAUCACCAAUCAAUAGUUCUGUCACUUACCCUCGAAGAGGUUUCGCGUAAAUACCGCUGUGACCCACAAUUCAGCUCCCCGCGCAUCUCACUACGGACCGGUCGAGAUUGGAAUGUCGGCACGAAGCACUUCUACUUCAUCCUGAACACACUGCACAACCCUGCAACAGUCGAUGAGAAGUCCUAAAGCCCAUUUACAGGUCCUCAUUCUACGGUACUGCGACGCGGCAGCAGGUCCACCAAUCAAGGCAGCUGUUAGGCCUUCUUACCCUGAACGGAUUUUUCGCUGCGGUUGUCAAUGCCAGGUAUUUAUGAUCUUCGCAUUUUUAAAGGUAAAAUGGUCGGCACCAGAGGGGUAGAAAUGUCUGGAUCACUCCCCGCGGAGUUCAUUUAGUAACUAGUGUGUUACUUGUAAGCUAGGAAAACUUCUCUCCUGUAUAUUACUGUUUUUCUGGUAAUAAAGUGGUAUGGAUUAUACCCGAUGUAAUGGUGUAAAGUAGGUUAUGGGCUCGAAGCUUCAAAACUGGGCAUGAUUGAGAGUUCUGCUGGUUGCUUAACCUAGCUUGCAUUGAUAGAGUGAAUUGAAUAGAGAGCGUUUUGAAUUUGCCACACAAGUUUACUGCCUACUUCAGUCCUCGUGGUCAUUUGCUUGAUUUUCUUGAUUUUUUUCUUAGGGACUGCACUUCUUCUUACCUUUCUAUUUUUUCUGUUGACUUGAUGUUUUUCAUCUUGGUUACCAUGUCUAUUGAAAAAAGAUUUAAUAGGCAUUCAGUGUUUCAAUAGUACUGAGUUUCAUUGCAUGAAAAUGUCAAAUUAGAAAUUUGUUUUGUGACAAAGGAUACAUUCAACAUUUUGAUGGCACUGUUGAAUAUGAUUCAGAUGAUGAAGGCUGGAAAAAUUGUGAUUACAACGUAUAUACAUUACUUACUUCUUUAAUUGAAAGAAAUGUUUAGGCUCUAUUAACUAGUUGCACAUGAGGUUUGAGCUCAUCUUUUAAAAAAAUAUGAGCACAAGAAUAGCAAAAAUAUUCAUGAGUUAUAGUGCCAAUUUUUUGAUGCUAAGUUAGAAAACAAUCAAUUUAUAUCUAACUUUAUUGCUCAACUUGAACUCAGCAUGAGUAAGCUCCAAGAAUUUGAUAAUUCACAUUCUUUGGAUGCCUUCAAGAUGUCUAAGUUUAGAGACUAACUUACUUGCUAGUUUUGAUGGUUUUACCACUGCCUAAAAGAGCACUUCUAAAGAAGAUCGUAUCUUAGCUAAUCUUAAGCUUUUCCUAUGUGAGGAGGAGAAGAAGAUUUUAUGGCGCAUACAACAAGAAGUUGCUUUGGAUAGCAAAGCUUUUUAUACCAGUCAUGGACAUCUUUCUAUUAGUAUAAGCUAUAGAGGCCAAUCUACUUGUAGGAGUCUUCAUGCACGCAGAUUCUUUAUUGAUAUACUUCCAUAUGGUUAUAUAAAUCUAUUGUACCUUCAUUUUGAUGAGCAUUGUACUUUGCAAUUUCCUACUCUUCUAUUCUAUAGACUCUUUUCUAAACCUCUAUUGCCAUUAGCAAAACAAACUUUGUUUCCACCAACUCAUUUAUAAACUCAUAGGAAUGCCAAGAUUGCAAAAAUGAAGUGUAGAACAAGAUGUAAUAAUUGUGGUCGACUUGAUCAUUGGUGGUAAGAAUGUCUGCACAUAUUUUAAGAGCUUGUCUAUAGGCCACUCAUUUUGUAUUUUGGACCUUAUAUUCAAGCAUCUUUUGUUGAGUUAUUGGAUUCCAAUCAUUCUUUUUUAUCUCCAAAGGUUGCAUAUCCAGAUGUGGAGUAUUAUUCUUCAUUUACUUCUUACAAUUAUGAUGAUGUACAUUCAAACUAGUUCACUUUUAAUAAACAAGAUAUAAAAAAAUAAAAAUAAAUAAAUAAAAAAAAAUCAGAUUUCUCUCUCAAUAUUAUCCAUAUUUAUAUAGCAUUAGCAUCAAGGAGAAUCAAAGAUGACUAGAUUACUAAUAGGAGAGCCAUUCAUCACAUUAUUGAUAAACUCCAAUGGUUUAUUAGCUACAAACCAUUACCACCUAAUGCUAUUUGGCUUGUCAAAAUCUCUGUUGGUUACAAGUGCUACAUAACCAAUACAAGUAACAACAAAAUUUUGGUUUAGCUUCUUAAUCAAAUAGAAGCUCAUCUUUUUCAGCAAGUUCUCUAUAUCCUUGGAUUUGGCCAAAAUCUCUUGUCUCAUUAAAGUUGCGAGACAACAUAAAUUUUUUAUUAUGUACAAAGAUCAUACUUGUGAACUUCAUUAAGGCAAUAGCCUUAUCAUGGCUAGCUGUAUGCUUUAAAUAUCUUACAUUUUAAAUUUCAUUGUCUUGCUUCCUCCAAGAGAUGUUUCUUAUAUAGCAUCUUAUAAAAACAUUGCUUCUUUAGUAGAAUUAUAGGAUAUUGAAACUUGACACCUUUGCCUUGAUCACUUAUACUAUGAUAUGAUUAAAAAGAUGGCUACCAAUGGUUCAAUCAUUAAGAUAUAACUCAAGACUACUAAAUCUCCAAAAAUAUAUUUAAAUUGCACCUUUGAAAAAUCUUGCAGGCCAAUGUUUUCUAAGAACAUUAUUAGAAGUCAAUCCACAAUGCUAGGGAUGCUUCUUCACAACAAUAUCUAUGAUUCCAUGAGUGUGCAUUUUCAUGAUGGAUCAUUAUAUUACAUUUGAUUCUAAGAUGAUUGUACAUGUUAUCAUUUUAUUUUUUCUAUUCUUCAUAAAUCAAAUGUACUUACUUAUUUUCAAUAAAUUUGCAAAAUUAUAUUUUGAGAUACAAGCUAUAAGGUUCUUACAUUACAAACUAGUAAUGUAGGUGAAUUUUGUAGCAAAUGUUUUAGUAAUUAUCUACAUAUAGAAGGAAUCAAAUAUGAAUUGAUUGUAUCAUAUAUUCCAAAACAAAAUGUUGUCUUAGAGAAAGAUAAUCAAAUUAUUAUAGAAGUUGUUAGAAGUUUGAUCUACUAUACUCACUUAGAUCCUAUGUUUUGGAUAGAGGCUUUAAAUAAUAUUGGUUAUACUUUAAAUCAAAUAUGUUCUUGUCUUCUUCCAAAUGCUAUUAUUUUCAAAGCUUUUAUUGAUAAAAGUAACCAUGUCUUGCCCAUAUGCAAUCAUUUUGUUGCAAAGUUAAUUCUCAUAUUUUUAAUAAGCUUUGUAAGAAACUCAAUCCAAAGAGCAAAACUAGAUUAUUUCUUAGAUAUUCCAAUGAGACUAAGGGCUAGUGCAUUUGGAACUUAUAUCAUAAACAAAUUAUCAUCAGUAGAGAUGUAUUGUUUGAUGAGCAUAAUUAUGCUCAAGAAACACCAUCUAUUGCUUUUUAGUCUUCCAACACUACAUCUAUGGAAGUUCAUUUUCUAAAAUUUCAAUACCCUCUUUUAGUGGAGAUAAAUCAUAAUUAUUGUACCUCAAGUUUUAAUUUUCUUAUCUCCUCAAAUUCAAUUUAGAUUCCUUAUUUAACAUCAAGUAAUAUAGUUAGUACUUCAAAUACUUCCAAUAUGACAAGUAGUGAGAGUACUUCUACUCUAGGUAAUGACAAUGUUGAUUUCAUUGAUAAUUACUUUAAUGAAGUUUAUAUUCAAUCUUUAAAAACAACUCGCAUUGUACUUUUGCAAAUUCUAUUAUGACUCUACCAUUUGCUUUAGCUUUAAAGUCUCUAGUAUCUUCAUUUGGAUUUCUACAUGAGGUUCUUCAAUUAUAUCACAAGACACUUCAUUUCUUUUAUUCUUUACAAUCAAAAAAAGUAAUGCAAGCAUAGUAUGAAUCUUUAUUUGACAAUAAAACAUGGAAGUUUAUAGACUUACUCUUGUGGUACAAAUCCAUUAAUUGUAAAUGGAUCUAUGCUCUCAAAACUAAAACUAAUGAUACUAUUGAUUGUUUUAAAGAAAGAUUAGUGGCUAAAGGUUAUUCAUAGAAAAUUGGUGUUGAUUUUAUUAAGACUUAUUCUCCUAUUGUGAAGUAUAAUUCAAUCCAAUUGGUUCUUUCAAUUGUUGCAUGGAAGGAUAUGCAUAUUUGACAAUUCAAUAUUAAGACUACUUUUUUACAUGGUCAACUUGAACAUUAGACAUAUAUGAAGCAAGUCCCUAGAUUUGAAGAUCCUUAAAUUUUUCAUAAGGUCUAUUGCCAGAAAAAGACAUUGUAUGGUUUACAGCAAGCAAAGCUAUACAUAGAAUAAAUGCAUAACCUAAUUUUUAGUAACCUAUAAGCUUAAACAAAGUAUUGUUGAUGCUUGUAUCUAUUGUUCCGAUACAAAUAAUCAACUCAUUCUCAUAAUGUUUGUUGAUGAUGAUUUGUAUUGUUGCCAAGAUGCUUGCCGCAUUCUCUAUGUUCUUAUGAUAAUAAACAACAUUGUUGAAACAAAGAUCAAUGAUCCAGAUACUUAAGUGAGGUUGCAAAUUGAAUGUGAUUGUUUUGCUACACUCAUUUUUAUACAUCAAUGUGCUUAUUUGGAGAGAAUUCUUUGUGAAUAUGGAUUUUCUAAAUCUUCAUCCAUUUCAACUCCAAUUUCUUCUAAUUCUUUUCUUUGUGGCAUCAAUUCUAUCAAUACAAAAUUUAAUAAUAAAUUUCCUUUUGUCAAUGCUAUUGGUAGUCUCUAAUUUGCCUCAAUAGAUAAUUGCUGUGAUAUUAUCUACUCACUAAAUAAUAUUACUCAUUUUAAAUCAAGAUUUACUCAAACUUAUUAUAAUGCUAUUAAAAAGAUAUUUUGGUAUAUUUAGAUAACUUUGGAUUCCAACCUUGUAUAUGGUGGAACAAAUUCUUUGACUCAAUUCACUAGGUUUGUUGAUGCAAAUUAAGCGGCCAAUUUGGACAAUCAACAAUCACAUAUUUGAUACGUUUUAUUUUUAAAUGAUGGGUCUAUUAGUUGGGGCUCAAAGAAACAAUAUUGUUUAGUCAAUAUUACUACAUAUUCCAAUUAUAUCAUCUUCUUUAUGGCUACAAAAGAAAUAAUUUUGUAUCGACAAAUGCUAGCAGAUCUUGGAUUUCUUGAAGAGAAAGCUACCAUUGUUUACUCUAAUUCUCAAAGUGCAAUUCAAUUGAUAGUUAAACCCAAGUUUCAUUCAAGAACCAAGCAUGUUGAUAUUGAAUAUCACAUGUUUCCAAGAAAAAAUUAAGAAUGGUGUUUUACAUAUUGAUUAUAUUUCUAUGAAUGCCAACAUAGCAAACAUUUUUACAAAAGCCUUGAAUCUUGAAAAAUUCAAGAAAUUACAUGCUUUUCUUACUAUAUAUUCUUGCUAAUACUUUACUUCUCCAUUGUAGUGAGAGUAUUACUACAUGUUGUAAUAUCAAUAGAGAAGUUAUUCUUUAAUGAAAAUUCAGUAACUAGUGUGUUAUUUUUAAGAAGGAAUAACUUCUCCCCCAGUACAUUACUAUUUUUCUUGUUGUAAUGAAGUGGCAUGAAUUAUACCCGAUGUAAUGGUGUUAAGUGCCGUGAGCCAACUUAAUUGCCACUGGGCUAGCUUUCUUGCUAGCUGCUCUAACUACUACCCUCAAGUCUACUGAUCUUCACCUUUGCAUUCCCUCGCAAUAUUCACAAAUACACUCAGAAAAAUUAGAGUACACAGUUGGAAACCAACUAAAAGACACGGGUACGGUGAUGACACAAAAUGAGAUGAGUGUGAGAAGGAGUAGAAAGUAUUUACUCACGUCUGCUCAAGCCUACGUAUUGUCAAUAUAGGGUCUGUCAAGAUUCGUCCUUUCAUCAAUUAAAGAAAGACGUUCAGGGUUUCAUUCGUUGCUCAGCAAAUGCAUUACACUGGUUUCAAAUUUACCUUGACAGGAUUGUAUUAAGUCAUGUUGAAUACUUAAAUUUUCCGACUAGUGUGCCAAAUUUAUAACACCGUUCCAAUUCGAACAGUCCCAUAGACCCCCCGUGGCCGAGCUCGCCAAUUCUCACGCCAGUCGCUCAUGCAUAUUGUCGACGAGGUUUCAAAACAGUGGAGGAUUGUUCAAGUCCAAUGUGGCGCCGGUGCAACCCAGCAUAGCAGCAUCUGUACAAAAAAUAUCAUUUCAUAUGCGGGCACUCUUGACCCCAAUCAAUACUACGAUGCCGUCUCAGAGUAGUUGUCCCUAAUCCAACAACCCUCCUAUC
rnacentral:lncRNA from 1 species